rnacentral:lncRNA from 1 species
UUUUUGUGUUUUUUAAUUUUGUUUUCUAUUUUUUAUUUUUUUCAUGUUUUUAAAUUUUUGUUAUCGUCUUUCUUUUAAAAUUUUUUAUCUCUUUUUUCUUUUUUCUCUUUUUUUGUUUUUAUAUAUAUAUUUUAUCUACAUUUUUUUCCUUUCAUUUUCAUUUUCAUUUUUUUUGUGUUUUUUAAUUUUCUUUUUCUAUUUUUUUAUUUUUUUCAUGUUUUUAAAUUUUUGGUAUCUUCUUUCUUUUACAAUUUCUUCUUUUUUAUCUCUUUUUUAUUUUUUUUGUUUGUUUUUAUAUAUAUAUUGAUGAUAUCUUCUCUUUUUAUUUUUAUCUUCUUUAUUUUUAUCUUCUUUUUGUUUGAUGAUCUCUUUAUUUUGAUUCGAUUAUUAUUGUGCUUUUCUUUUAUCUUAUCUAUGUGUUUUUCUACAGUUUUUUUUUCAUAUUUUCAUUUUUUUGUUUUUAAUUUUUACCUGUUUACUUGUCCUUUCUUUGUUUUUAUUGGUCUGUUUUUUUAAUUUUAUCUAAGUUUUUUGUUGAUAUGGUUAUUCUCUUUUCCAUUUUUUUAAUUCCUUUUUUUUUUCUUUUUUUUCUAUUCCUAUUUUAUUGUGUUUGUAGUAUUUUUUCAAAAAAAUUUCAAUUUUUGUUGUUUUUGUUUAAUUUUUGUAUUUUCUUUAUUUUAUGUUUCUUCGUUUUUUUUAACUAUUUUAUCUAUUUUAUAUAUAUAGGUUGUAUCUUCUCUAGUUUUGAUUUUUUAUUUUUUAUUUUUAUUUAUCUAUUUUUUUGUAUUUUUUAUGUAUUAUUUGCUUUUCUUUUCUUUUUUCCUGUUUUUAUAUAUAUUUUUUUCUUUUUUCUUUGUAUUUUUUUUUUUUUUAUCCAUUUGUUCUGAAAUGAUCUUCUCUUUUUCCCAUGUUUCCCUUUAUACCUUUUUUUAUUUUGAUUGUCUUUUUUCGAUUUUUUAGUAUUUAUCUACUGUUUUCUAUUUGUUGUUUUUUUGUUUAUAUAUUAAAAAGGAUUUGUAUUUGUUAUUUCAUUUUUUUCUAUAAUUUUAUUUUUUCUAAAUUUUUUCUUUCAUUUUCAUUUUUCUUUUUUAAUGGUGCUUGAAGUUUCAUAUUUUUGUUUUUUAUGUUUUAAAUUGUGUGUAUUCUUUUUUUUACAGUUUCUUUCUUUUUUCUGGUUUUAUGUUUUUAUUUUUAAGAAUGUUGAUUAUUCUCUUUUUUUAUUUUAUUUUUAUUUUCUUAUUUAUUAUUUUUUUUCGUUUAUUAUGUUUACUUUUCUGUGUUUUUUCUUUUUAUCGACAAUGUUUUCUUUUUGAAUUUUUAACUAUUUUAUUUUUUUCUAUUUGUAUUGUUAUCUCUUUUUUUUCCUCGCUUUAUCCUUUCUUCCUUUUUUAUUUUUUAUUUUCUUAUUUUUUUCGUAUUUUUUGGAUUCUAUAUUUUAUCUAUUUUUUUUUAUGUUUUUUCAGUUAUAUAUAAAGAAAUUUUUAUCUUUUUUAUUGUAUCUAUAUUUUUCUAUUGAGUUUAUUUUCUUUUUAUUAUGUUUUUUAAUUUCUUUCCCUAUUUUCUGCUUCUUUCCUUUUUUAAAUUUUUGUUAUCUACUUUUUUACCUCUUUUUUAUUUUUUUAUUUUUUUUGGUUAUAUAUGUAUAUAUAUUAAUAUCUUCUCUUUUUUUAUUUUAUCUUCUUUUGUUUGUAUUUUUAUUUGUUUAUUUAUUUAUUUAUUUAUCUUUUGUUUUGUUUUUUCUCUGUUUUUAUUUACCUUUGUUUUCAUAUUUUUUUAGUUUUUUGUUUUAAUUUUUUAACUGUUUUUAGUGUUUUUCCUUUUUUGUUUUUAAUUUUUUAUCUAUUUUUUUUUCUUUUUUCCUCUUUUAUCUAAUUUUUUUAUAUUAUUAUCUUCUCUUUUUUUUUCUUUUUUUUUUCCUUUUUUUGUUUUUUCUUUUCUUAAUUUUUUUUCAAGUUUUCCUUGUUUUAUCUACUUUUUUAUUUUUAUUUUUGUUGUUAGCUUAAAAUUUUGUAUCUUUUUUUUAUCUAAAUUUUUUUCCUUUCAUUUUACAUUUUUUCGUGUUUUAAAAUUUUUUUAUCUUCUUUCUUUUUCUGUUUUUUAAUUUUAUAUAUAUACUCUAUAGAUAGAUAGAUAGAUAGAUAGAUUGAUAUGUUCUCUCUUUUUUGUAUUUUGUAUUUUAUUUCUUUAUGUAUUUUGCUUUUCUUUUGGUUGUUUUCCUCUUUUUAUCUAUAUAUAUUUUAUUUUAUUUUGCCUUCUUCUGUUUUUAAUUUUUUAAUUAUUUUUAUUUUUUUCCUCUUUGUUAUCUAUUUUUUCUAUUUGUAUUGCUAUUUUCUCUUUUUUUCUGUUUUUUUCCUUUAUUCUUUUUUUUAUUUUUUAUUUUUCUUAUUUUUUCUACUUUUUCUGUUUUUCUAUUUUUCUGUUUUUUCUGUUUAUAUAUAAAUAGUUUGUGAUCUUUUUUUCUUUUAUUCUUUUUUCUUUUUUUUUCAACAUUUUGUCCUUUCAGUUCAUUUUUUUCAUUUUCCUGUUUUUUCAUGUUUUAAAUUUUUGAACUGGUUUUUUUUUUUUUUUUUACCAGUUUUAUCUAUUUUUUUCUGAUUAUAUAUUUGUUCAUCUUCUUUUUUCCCUUUUCCCUUCUUUCUUUUUUAUUUCUUUUUUUCGUGUUUUCCUUUAUUCCUUGUUUUUAUUUGUAUCUACUUUUUUCCUAUUGUCUUUGUUUUUGUUCAUCUUUUCUUCAAUUUUUUGUUUUUAAUUUCAUUUUUCUUUUUGUUUUUCUUUUUUUUCUUGAUUUUUUCUGUUUUGUUUUCUAUUUUAAACUAUUUUAACAGUUUUUUCAUUUUUUCCCUUGACUUUUAUACCUGUUAACACCUACCAAUGUAUUGAGGUCAAUUGUCCAGAUGUUAGUCACAUUUACGUCUUUGCACUUUGGUUUCAUCCCGUAAUAAUAAACAUACUAAUUUUGAAAAUAUUUUUGACUUGAUUUUGAGGGUACAGCGGCCAUUGUGUCUAGUAUUUGGUAACACAUCAAUUUUUAGUGACUUGUUAAAGGGCUGCUUCCGCAGCAACCAAAUUUCCGGUACAGUUAAUUUGAGCCCUAAACAGCAUUUGAAAACUUUUUUUGCACUCAAAACCUUGACUUUAAAACUGCAUUUUCCUGUACUCAAAACCCUCAAAAUCUUACGGUUACAGUGAGACUUGUUUUGGUUCAAGUUGUUUUCUUGCAAUUCCACCCCCAUUGUAGUUACUGUGAAUUACAAAGUUAGACAACACUGCGGAAAAUUGCUGCACUAGUAAAAACGGCGUUUGGGGGGAAUUUGAAGGGGUUAUUUAACCAUAUCGAAAAGUUAUGAGAUUGUAGGAGUUAUUAACCAAGCCUAAAUUCACAAGAGUAGUUAUGUUCCAAUACGUACUGGUUGCAAAAAUCUGAUUUUAUUAAAAAAAAUGGUUGGAUGCCCUAUCGGAGUUGGAAGAUAACAGUCUAGUUUCACCCACACUGUUAAUAAUUCGAAACUUCGAAUAGUUUUAUGGCCAAAACAUUGAGUAGUGAUCAAGCCUUUCAAAGUUGCUGACUUUUAUUUUAUUUCGUGUGGAAGUGUUUUUGUAAUAUGGUUUUGUAUUGGAAUUUAGAAAUCACCCUACUUAAGUUGUAUAAAUCAACUUAUGUUAAGUUGUAUAUCAAGAAGUUGCCUGAUGGUGGUGGGUUUGGGUUUGGGGGUGUUAGCUCUGUGUAAGUGGUUGGGGGUGGGUUUUAUGGCAAUGAUUGGGUGGAGGGUGGCGGCCGCGGGGUUGUUAUUGGUUGGUGAUUGGCGAGGUAGAUUUGUAACCUGUACAUCAAACAAGGGCAAACAGUCUUCUGAUCAAAAGAGUAGAAAUCUCUAGUUUUCAACAGACUUUUCAGUGUUGAACCCACUAAAAAUAUUAGUUUUGAACCAUGACACUUGGAAAAAAAAAACACUCUUUUUUUACAUGUAUCUAAAGAACUAUACUUUAAGCAAAAGUUAGAUACUGUAUGAUUUGUUCCCAUGCUUUGAUGUAGGGGUAAAAAUAAAAUAGCUUCUCGAACUUAUGAUUCGUUUCGGAUCGUUAAAAAUUUGUUAAGAUUGGUUGUUACUUAAACAAACCAAACUUUAAACACUGUACGACUUGGCUCGAUAAGCUUAUAUGUUAAAAAUUCAAUCUAUCAAAUUCGGCUCGAUUAAUCUCUUUUAAUAUCGAUUCCUUAUAAACAAAAGCUAAGUUUGAAGCAUAUUGUUUAAAACGCGGUUAAGUCUAAAUCAACUGAACCUUUACUAUUUGACUCGUUAUAAGCCUACAUUACUUGAAUCAUUAAAACAAUGUCAUUGCAUACGCACUAUAUGUUUUAUCCAACUUCGUCAACCUUAAAAUUUUGAUGGUUUAGUUUUGCUUUUAUACACUGACUAUCCCAAUUUUAUAUUGUUUAAUAGCAUAAUUCUUUAAAAAACUCAACUUGUAAGUUAAUGUGAAGUUUUAUUUUUUUUUCUUAUUGCAAAAUUGGAUUAUACAAAUGUAGGUUUUGACAUUUCAUAUUGUUUUCUUCUUAUCCAUUGCUAAUUUAUGCAAGGAAAAAAUUAAUUUAACGCAAAAAAAAGAAUAUUAAAAUGUCUCUCUUAAUUAUAAUUAAGAAAAGUUAAUUAUCACAAUUUUGUAUGUAAGAGGGGAGAACAGCUUUUUUAUGACUCAAGUCAAGAUGAAUGAUUAAGUUACUGACUAAUAGAAAGAAAUUGGAAAGAAGUUUCCAGUUUUUGAGUGCAGCUACUAUAUCCUAGUGGAAGCAUAUGUUAAACAAAAAUCAAAUCUGUAGGGGUUUUCCUCCAGAUCUCUAAUAAUGAGGUGAAAUUGGGCCAUACAGACUAGAAGAUAAAAUAUUUGCACAUUUCAGUAUAACGGCUGUACUUAGCACUACUAUUUUACCCCUAUGGAAUGCAAGAAAUGCAUUAAAUUUUUAUUUUGAAGCUCUAGAUGCAGCCAUAGCGACUUCCAAAGUCGAAGAUUGACAUCAGAACUAGCUAUGUAACUUGGAGAAAGGGGAAAAGAAUCUAUUUGCCGUUAUUGGUUGGUUGGCUCGUUUCUUUAUGGUUCUUGUUCUUUUUCGUGUUCAAAGUCCUGGUGUUCUAUGAAAGAUUAAACUGGUUUUUACUUAGUUGACAUUUAUGCUUUGUAUUUUGGUGGUUGUGAAAUCAUAAAAAAUUACUUAUCCAAAAUUCACGCCCAGGCUUGUCAACACCAGACAUAUCGAUGACUAAUUUCUCUAUAUUUGGUGAACUUUGUCAGAGUCCUUGCCUAUGGGUAGGCUGUCCAAUUUGUUGCCUUCCAUGUUCAGGGUUAAACAUUUACACCUUACAUUGGGAAAGGUCACAACCUUUGACCUCCCAUAUCGACAGAACCCACCUUGUCAUCUGAAAUAUUUCAUUUAAUAGGACCCCACUAUGAAGAUAUCCAUGCAAAAUAUCUUGUUGAUCAAGAUUAUAGCCACACAAUUAGAUAAUUUUUGGUAUGCGGCGGGAAUGAUUUUCAAAGUAAAUUGUUUUGGUUUUUCAAACAAAUGCCAGUAUAGCUCACUUGAUUUUUGUGCAAUGGGUGAUCUUUUUAGAUGGCCUAAAAAUGACUGGGCGGGUCGGGUUAUGUAUCGUUUGUGUCUUGUGGCGCGAACNNNNNNNNNNNNNNNNNNNNNNNNNNNNNNNNNNNNNNNNNNNNNNNNNNNNNNNNNNNNNNNNNNNNNNNNNNNNNNNNNNNNNNNNNNNNNNNNNNNNGUUUUUUUCAUUUUUUCCUUGAACUUUUAUCCUGUUAACACCUACCAAUGUUAUUGGAGGUCAAUUGUCCAGAUGUUAAGUCACAUUUAACGUCUUGUCAACUUGGUUUCAUCCGUAAUAAUAAACUACUAAUUUUGAAAUAUUUUGACUGGUUUUGAGGGUACAGCGGCCAUUGUGUCUAGUAUAUUGGUACACAUCAAUUUUUAGUGACUUGUUUAAGGCUGCUUUCCGCAGCAACCAUUUCCGGUGACAGUUUAAUUUGAGCCCUAAAACAGCAUUUGAAACUUUUUUGCACUUCAAAACCUUGACUUUAAAACUGCAUUUUUCCUGACUUUCAAAACCCUCAAAUCUUACGUUACAGUUGAGACUUGUUUUGGUUCAAGUUGUUUUCUUGCAAUUCCACCCCCAAUUUUAUUUACUGUGAAUUUUCAAAGUUAGACAACACUGCUGGAAAUUGCUGCACUAGUAAAAAAGCCGUUUUGGGGGUGAUAUUUGAAGGGGUUAUUUAACCAUAUCGAAAAGUUAUGAUAUUUGUAGGAGUUAUUUAACCAAAUCCUAAAUUCACAAGAUUAGUUAUGUUCCAAAUACUUACUGGUUGUCAAAUCUGAUUUUAUUCAAAAAAAAUUGGUUGAUUGCCCUAUAGGAGUUGGAAGAUACCGUUAGUUUCACCAAUGUUAAUAAUUCGAACUUUCGAAUAGUUUUUAUGGCCAAACUUGAGUAUUUGUGGCUCAAGCCUUUCAAAGUUGCUGACUUUGAUUUAUGUCUUGGGUGGGAAGGUGAUUUGUAUAUGGUUUUUGUAUUGAGAUGAGAAUCACCCUACUUUAAGUUGUAUAAAUCAACUUAUGUUAGUUAGUAUAUCAAGAGUUGCCUGAUGGUGGUGGGUGGGGGUGGGGGGGUUAGCUGGCUGUGGAGGGGUGGGGGGGUUUUUGGGGGGGGGGUUUUUUUUAUGGCAAUGCUGGGGGCGGGUGCGCCGCGGGGUGGUUAUUGGUUUUGGUGCUCCUGGCGGAGGUAGAUUUGUAACCCUUGUAUCAUCAAACAAGGCAAAAGUAUUCUGAUCAAAAGAGUAUAAAAUCUCUAUUUUUACACAGACUUUCAGUGUGAAACCCAUAAAAAUAUGAAGUUUUGAACCAUGACACUUGAAAAAAACACUCUUGUUUACAUGGUAUUAUAGAAACUAUACUUGGCAUACCAAAAGUUCGGAUACUGUAUGAUUUGUUCCCAUUCAUUGAUGUCUUGUAAAAUUAAAUAACUUCCUCGCCUUAGAUCGUGUUCGGAUCGUUCAAAAAUUUGUUUAAGAUUUGGUUUGUUACUUAAACAAACCAAACUUUAACACUGUACUACUUGGCUCGAUAAGCUUAUUAUGUUUAAAAAAUUCAAUCUACUCAAAUUCGGCUCGAUUAAAUCUCGUUUAAUAUCGAUUCGCUUCAUAAACAAGCUAAGUUUGAGCAUAUUGUUAAAACUCGUUAAGUCCUAAAAUCAAACUUGAACACUUUACUAUUUGACUCGUUAUAAGCCCUACAUUAAUGGAAUUCAUUAAAACAAUGCAUUGAUAAGCACUAUAUUUUUAUCCAACUUAGUCACCGUAAAAUUAUUGAUGGGUUAGUUCUUGCUUUCUACACAUGACUAUCCAAAUUUUAUAUUGUUUUAGCAGAAUUCUUUUAAAAAUCAACUUGUAAGUUAAUUGUGAAGUUUGAUUUUUUUUUCUUAUUGCAAAUUGAUGUAUACAUGUAUGUUUGACCAUUGUUCAUAUGUUUUCGUAUCACUGACUAAUUUAUCAAAGAGGAAAAUUAAUUGGUAACGCAAAAAAAAGAAUAUUAAAUGUCUCUCUUAAUUAUAAUUAGAAAAGUUAAUUAUCAAAAUUUAGUGAUGUAAAGAGGGGGAGAACAGCUUAUUUAUGACUCAAGUCAAGACUGAAUUGAUUGAAGUUACAUGACUAAUAGAAAGAAAUUGAAAGAAGUUUCAAAGUUUGAGUGCAGCUACUAUAGCCUUAUGUGGAAGCAUAUGUUAAACAAAAAUCAAAUCUGUAGGGGUUUCCAGACUCUGAAUAAUGAGGGGUGAAUGGGCCUACAGAAUAGAAAACGAUAAAAUAUUUUGCACAUUUCAGUAUACCGGCUGUACUUAGCAGCUACUAUUUACCACCUAUGGAAUGCAAGAAAUGCUUAAAUUUUUAUUUAUGAAGCUCUAGAUGCAGCCAUAGCGACUUCUAAAGUCGAAGAUUACAUCAGAACUAGGCUAUGUACUUGGAGAAAGGUGGAAAAGAAUGCUAUUUGCCGUUAUGGUUGGUUGGCUCUUUUCUUUAUGUUUCUUGUUCUUUCGGUUCAAGUCCUGGUGUUCUAUGAAGAUUUAACUGUUUUUACUUAGUUGACAGUUAUGCUUGUAUUUUGGUGGUUGUGAAUUCAAUAAAAAAUUUACUUAUCCAAAAAUUCACCCCAGGCUUGUUCAAAAACCAGAAUAUCGAUGACUAAUUUCUCUAUAUUUGGUGAACUUUGUAGAAGUCCUGCUAUGGGUAGGCUGUCCCAUUUGUUGCCUUCCAUGUUCAGGGUUAAACAUUUACACCUUGACAUUGGGAAAGGCACACCUUUGACCUCCAAUAUCGACAGAACCCAACUUGGUAAUCUAAAUAGUUCAUUUUAUAGGACCCACUAUGAAGAUAAUCCAUGCAAAAUAUCUUGUUGAUCAAAGAUUAGUAGCCACACAAUUAGAUAAUUUUUGUAUGCGCGGGAAUGAUUUUCAAAGUAAAUUGUUUGUUUUUUCAAAACAAAUGACAUUAUAGCUCAACUUGAUUUUUGUGCAUGGAUGAUCUUUUUAGAUGGCCCUACAAAAUGACUGGGCCGGGUCGGGUUAUGUACGGUUUGUGUCUUUGUGGCGCGAACCCACUUUGUGGAGGCAAAAUGUCCUUCAACUCCCUUGGCUGAUGACUUCUCACUUUCAGCCAUUCUGUUUUUUUGGGAAAUGGUUUUACAUAAAUAAAAUUCAUACAUAAACUCUUGCAAUAAUAACGUGAUAAUAACACUUUAUGGGUAUUUUGUUUAAAAGUAAAAGACUCACAUUAUGUUCCGUCAUUCUAUAUAAAAAUAUUGUAUAAAUUUUAUGUUUGUAUAUUAUUAUCAUUUUUUUGUACAUAGUGAACAACUUUAAUUAUUUUGAUGAAAGUUUUUAUUUUUCUAGUUUGUUUUAACUAGAGAAACCUAAAAGAAAAAAAAAAUUAUUUUCCAAUUUAUUUUGAAUAAAACAAUUGAAAAGAGUAAAAGAUUUUAACUGAAAACUUAAAAUUAUUCACAUCUUUCUUUUUUAAAAUGUAUCAUAGCUUUGGUUUUUAGAAAGUUUCGGUUAUUAGAAGGUUUUGGGUUCAAAUCUCUCUUUUGCAUUUUGCUUCUCCUCUUUGCAUUAUGCUUACCUUUAUAUGAAUAUUUGUGUCUUCAUAUGCAAUACAAGAUUGCAGGUAAGGAAGGGUAUUGGAUAGCAUGAUAUGCAUCCGUGGGCAUAUUUCCUAACGGCUUUAAGACAAUUGGUGAGAUAACAAACUGCCUAGUAGCUAGCAGACACUUAGAUCCAUGUUCAAUAUGUCUUCAGAGGCCAAUUUAUUAUCACAGAAGCUAUAACACAGAAUAAAUUAAGGCACAAUUGAGAACUCGUGAACUUAAAAUUCAUCAGAGAAAAGAAGAAUAGAGAUGAUUGAAUGAAGACACAUUACUUAUCACCAGGUUUUCAGAAUCAACUUUCUCAACACUUUCUUUCCCAAGGGGAAUUAGGAAAUUCUUACAUACCACUUGUAUACUUUUGAAUCCGCACACCAGUUAAGAUACAAAUAUUGUACACUGCAUGUUUCGGUCAUGCUGAGAAAGCAAAAGAGCAAGCAGUCUAUUGGGAAAAACAGAAAUAAAUACAAGCACAAAUGGCAUAACAGCGCCACCAGAAUUACAUGCCUCAUAGUCGCCACCAGAAUUACAAUCUUUAGAUGCGGCAAUAAAUAAUAAAAGAAGUAAACUAGGUUUCACCGAGAAAGUGGAGUGAUCCGUUUCCACUUAUAGUAACAUAAUACUGCAUCAGGAGAGCUCGUGGGAAGCUUAAAAGGUUUGAGCUGCUGGAAAAAUUCCUCGGGUGGUUUAUAGUUUCCCUGGCAUAUGAUAACCAUCUUUUGCAGAACCCUUGCAUUCUUCAGCGCAGAAAAUUGUUACCAAAAGGAAAGUUGGAGUCAUAGCGAAUACCCUCCUAACGAGGGGUAAAACGUAAACUUUUUUGAAGAUGCAGCGUCAACACACCUGAAAGUCCUCUUUCGUGAUGUCCAGUAGUUGCUCUUCGUCAAAAUUAAAAAGCUCAAUCCCGUAUCCCGAAAACACUGCACAACAAAAUGUGACGCUAUUGCAUAGUUUAAAGGUGUCAGCGCAAUCAGCAAGAAUGAAUUCUUAUGCCCAUGAAUAUGAAUCAAAUGGCUACAUCAAAGGCCAUUUACAAGGACAACUGAAGACAUCUGUGUUACACGGAGGCAGGUACGAGUAUCGAGUGCGAGUCUAAGCGUAUUACCUUUCCAAACUUAAAUCUCAAUAUAGUGGGUCAUGUCUCCAAAAUUAGGUAUGAGUACGGGAACACGUCCUCUACACUUAUUUGUAUUAUAUGUAUAAUUUUCCCAGAUAAUAUGUUGUAAAUUAUUUAGAAAUUUAUUUAAAAUUAAAUAGAAUUAAGGAAAAAUAUGAAAUUUCAAUCUUCCGUCCAUGUAAAGGUUAGAAGUUCUGCUUUUUUAGCUGGUGUGAGCUUUUUUUUUUUCCAAAUAUCAUCAAAUUUAAAGGAUCCAAGUGUCUAUAUUGAGUACGGGUGUCGGACACACAUCCCACACCUGAUAUAUGUCCAGGUCCAUUGGACACGGAUAUUUGAGGAAACUAGAAGGGUCCAUGUACCUAGAAAUGUAUAAACAUGUUGGCGAAGUUAUUUAAAUAAAACCACUUCCAAUCUCGAGAAAUGGUUCGUUAUCACUCCCAAUAAAGAGGGAAGGGUACGCCCAAUAAAGUCUAGCAAUCACCAAUUGCUAUCAUUGACCAUUAUUAUCAAACGAGCUAAAGAAAGAUUAAAAAAGACUAUGUAAUGAAGAUCGUUUUUGCACAUCCCUUGAAAUGAUAUCCAGAAAAUAGGGAAAACGGCCAUGAGAAAACACACCUCUGAAACACAGGAAGAGGACAAGUUUAUGUCUAAUGUUUCCAAGUUAGGUGAACUUUCAAACAUGCAUGCUAUCCCCGGGACUUCUGAUUUAUCAAGCAGCGUAUCUAGCGUUAGACGUUCGCACUUCAACAGUGGGCAGCUCAAGCCUUUUUCUUCCAUAAUGGAUAGUACCUUGGCCCAUUAAAGAAAAAUUGAAAACAACAAAUAUAAGAUCCGACGAAUUAGAACAUUCUGUAAGACUGUCAGAAAAAUCCUAUCAAAAGACAUUUUGUGUAUCUAAAUCAUAGUUUACUUUCAAAGUUUCAAACCAUUUUUCACUCCUUUAACACCAAAAGACCUUUGACAAGACAGGAUUUGUUUACUUGGCACAUAAUAAUACUAUUGAUUGUGAUAAAUAAGCUAGGGGAAUUUUCAAUUUAAUAUCAUUUAGUACAAAACCAAUCGGUGAGGUUAAGAAAUCAGACAACUCAAACUCAAUAUCUAGUCCACUAACAUUAGUUGGAAAAUGAAUUGCUAUGAAACCAAGAAAUCAAAUCCAUAACCAUGAAUCAACUAAUUGGCAAGCGAUACACGAAAACAUUUUCUCCUGCAGGAACACUAGAAAAAUAGACAAAUUGGUAACCUGUAGACAUGUCAAUAGGUCUUCUUUGUGGGUGCUAUUGUUCUAUAGACUAAUUAUUAUGCUAUACCCUUCUCAUAUAAAAAAACAACCACGAGAAAUGCUUUAUUUCAGAAUUCAAUUCUUGAAGUCUAACAUACAUUCUGUAAUCAGAAUUGUGCAAUUGUCUAUGAAGAGUUGCAUUAACUCAACAAUCGUUAUAACAUCAAUUUUAUUGGCGAGUCUAACUAUACGAUUCCUUCGGUUUCUUCUCAAAGGAGAAGAUAAAAUAAUCACUUAUGAUAUUUUGUAGUUAGUAUAUAGAAUUCAAUCACAAAAGAAAAGAACUGUUGAAAUACCAACCUGCAGAGCCCAAAUACCUAAUGUAAGACUCUUCACAUGAACAAGACUCACAAGAAAUCCUCUGAAAACAUUUUGAAUCCUUUCAUAAACAUCAUCGCUAUCAUCUUCACAGGUCACAAUGUGACAAUUGAGAGUUACAUCAACCAAAGACGAUACGUUCAUCAGCCGAAAAUUCCUCCCUAAACAACCCAAAAUCUCCAAGGACUGAAGAUAAGGAGCCCAAAUUUCCAGCCGAGAUUCGUCUUCACCAUCGCCUUCAUCUUCGUCACCCCAAAAUUCUCUCAGGAUCAAUUUCUUCAAGCUUGCAUUACCAAUAUGUAAAUGACUGAACCCUUCAUAGUGAUGAAAUUCCAAAAUCUCCAACACAGGACAACCUUCCAAUAUCCUCCGAAUCACAUCAUCGCUCAACUUCGCAUACCCAAUGGACAAUUUCUUCAGCGAGUUCCAUCUAACAGCUCCUUUAGGCAUUACUCUGCAGUAAGAAAAAUUCAAUUCUCGGAACCGCGAAUUCGUAUACAUCAGCUGUGGCAACAGGUAAGAAUUUCCAUAAUCCCAAUGAAUUACCGGAACAGGCAAUUCAAGGUGAAGCUCCUCAACCUCAUUUUUCACCGCGAAUCGCGUCCACGAAUUGACCCUAGAAGUAAAUUCCCAUUCGAAUCCGAAACAGACCCCGAAUUUCUUGACCUCGGAGCCGCUGCAGAGGACUAGGGUUUUGUCAACGAAGGCGACGAAAUCAGAAACUUCGUUGAUGUCGUCAGAAGUUUCAUCGAUGUCUCCGCCGUUACGGUAGGGGCGACGAUGACGGAAGAGGAGGGACGGGACGUGAGUCCAGAGGAAUUGCCAUCGUUUGGACAAAACGUCGGUUUUGAUGGCGUCUUCGAUUGGUAAGAGUGAGAGAAUGUGGACGAGGAUUGAGUCGGGCAAAUCGCUGAUUCGAUCGGCUGCAUGGCGGUGGCCGGAGUCGGAGUCGGAGUCGGAGUCGGAGUCGAUGAAGUAAUUUCUUCGCCGGCGAUUGCGUCUUCGUGUUGACAUGUUUUUCCACUGCUUUAAGCCUUCACCGUACUGCUCGGAGAACAAGAGGGUUUGGGGGGAGAUUCGGUAGUCAUAAAUUAGAUUUUUUUGGAUUACUCUAUUUUUUAUUUAAUUUAAGUUUUUUUAUCUGACAUAUUUUACUAUUUGGGUUUGUAAAAAAAAUUAUUUAAAAGAUGAAAAAAAUUACUAAAAAAAAGUAAUUCAGAAAAUUCAGUUUACAAGAAACUUUGAAAAGUAAUAAUUGUUUAAAAGAUGAAAAAAAAACUAAAAAAAUUAAUUUUAUUCAAAAUUGCCCCUCCCGUACAUUCCUCUACUAAUUUUCAUAUCUCUCUAGUAGCAAAAGUACGCACAUUAAGUUGGUGAUUUGUAAACCCCUCUGAUUAGGCUAGGAUCACGAUCUCAUUAUAUGCGUGAAGCAGUGAAGAUUUGAGGGCUCGCUCACUACAAGAAGAGAAGAGAGAACUCAAAGAGGGGAGAUCUCAUAGAAGAGGGAAGUCUUCGGGUUUCAUAUACUCACUAAUCUUAUUAUAUAGACAUAGAUCUCACUAGACAUGUAUGGCAGUUACUGAAUAUUUACUUACAGGAUUUACAUGCAAUAUUAAAAUUUUGGUUUCAAUAUUGCAUGUGAAACCUGUGAAUAAAAAUCACUAAAUACACGUGAUAUUCAUAUGCAUAUCAUACACCACCGGUUGCAAUUUUAUCCGAAGAAAUUUCUCAAUCUCACAUUUCCUAAACUGACCUAGUUUUUUGCUUUUCUUUCAUCCAACCAUUAAUUUUAGUACCAAUGCCAUAGUAGGAUCACUAUUUUGCAACUUCUCUUUUUUUUCAAGUCUUGAUCUUAAGUUUUUUUUGUCCAUUCCCAAAUUAAUCAAGUUUUGUUCUUUUUUAUUUUUUAAUUAGUUACCCCUCGUCUGAACAAACUUAAAAGGUAAAAUCUUUUAUCAAAUUCGAGGCCAUCUUUUUUGUCUUUAGUAGAAUUGUUUUCAAAAUAGAUUAAUUUCUUGUUUUUCAAAAUAUAUCGACGACAAAUCUCCAACAUUACAAUAGUUCCUUCUCAUUCUCCCAAAACAAUGAAAUCAUGAACAUCACAUAAAAAGGGAAAUGCUAUGUGUACACCAAAGGUGUACACAUAAUGCACACCACAACAACAACAGCUUUGUGUGGUCCAACUCCUUAGUGUGGGGCCCAAGGUUCUUGUGUGUGGUGGUGCAUUAAUGUUACACCUUUGGUGUACACAUAGCAUUUCACCAUAAAAAAUUGUAUAUAGAGAAGACCUUGUUUUCUCGAGGCCUCAUGGGCUCCGCACGUCAUCCGUGUUUUCCUCUCCAAGGCAACAUAUAAGGACUAGGGUUUUGUCAACGAAGGCGACGAAAUCAGACACUUCGUCGAUGUCGUCAAAGUUUUCAUCGAUGUCUCCGCGUGACGGUAGGGGCGACGAUGACGUAAGAGGAGGGACGUGACGUGAGUCCAAGGAAUUGCCAUGUUUGGACAAAACUCGGUUUUGAUGGCGUCUUCGAUUGUAAUAGUGAGAGAAUGUGGACGAGGAUUGUGUCGUGGUUAAAUCGCUGAUCGAUCGGCGGCGUGCGUGGCCGUAUUCGGAGUCGGAUUUCAGAUUCUGAUCGAUGAGUAAGUUCUUCGCCUCAUUGCGUCUUGUGUUGAAAUGUUUUUUCCACUGCUUUAAGCCUUCACCGUACUGCUCGGAGAACAAGAGGUUUUGGGGCAUAGUCCUCAGAUCGACUCGGUAUUGAACGGUCAAAAGCACGAUUCAACGGUUCAAUCACGGUUUAACCGGUUGUAUAAUUAAUAAAUAACUACCAAUAUUUUUUAUUAUAAUAUAAAAAAUAAAAUUUUUUUUUAUCUCGUCAACUACUACGUAGGUGUUUGAAAGAUAAUUAUAAAAAUAUAUUUUAAAAUAUCAAAAUAUACAUGGAAUAUUACUCAGGUGCAACUCAUUAUAUAUAAUUUUUUAAAUACUCUUAGAAAAAAAUUGGCCAAAUGAGUUUAAAUUAUAUAUUUUAUCUGGAAUAAUAAUAAUAAGUAAGAAUUAAUUUAUAAUAAAAAAUAUGAAAAAAUUCAAAUUUAAAAUUUAAUUCAAAUUUGUGGGGCUAAAUUGCAAAAAUUAAAACUAUAAUUUAUCUGUUAAAAAAUCGCUUGGUUCGAUAAAAAAUCAGUUUGAUUCAACCGGUUCAAUUUGGUCACUUGCAUUUCGAUAAAAUAGUGUACGAAAAAGGGGAGCGGAAAGGGUGGGGAGGGGGUUUUCUUACUCAGUUCCCGAUUGAACCAGACGGUUCGAUCCGGUUCUUAUAACUAUGGUUUGGGGGGAGAUCCAAUAGUCAUAAAUUAGAUUUUUUUUGAUUACUCUAUUUUUUAUUUAAUUUAAGUUUUUUUAUUAACAUAUUUUACUUUUUUGGGUUUGUAAAAAAAAAUAUUUAAAAGAUGAAAAAAAUUACUAAAAAAAAAGUAAUUCAGAAAAUUCAGUUUACAGGAAACUUUGAAAAGUAAUAAUUGUUUAAAAGAUGAACAAAAACUAAAAAAAAAUAAUAAGAAAAAAAAUUAAUUCUAUCCAAAAUUGCCCAUCCCUAUACUACGCUCCUCUACACAAUGUUAAGGAGUCUAGAGUACCAAAAGUGACUCACAAUUGAGUUGGUGAUUUGUAAGCCCCUCUGAUUAGGCUAGGAUCACGAUCUCAUUAUAUGCGUAAGCAGUGAAGACCUGAGGGCUUGCUCACUCCAAGAGCUAUUUGGGGUUUUUGGAGAGGAGCCGUUGACACUUAGAGAGGGGAGAUCUCAGAGAAGAGGGAACUCUCCGGAUUUCAUAUACUCACAAAUCUUAGUAUAUAGAUAUAGAUCUCACUAGGCACGUAUGGCAGUUACUGAAUUUUUACUCACAUGAUUUACAUGCAAUAUUAAAAUCCAGGUUUCAAUAUUGCAUGUGAAACCUGUGAAUAAAAAUCACUAAAUACAGGUGAUAUUCAUAUGCAUAGCAACACCACCGGUUGCAAUUUUAUCCGAAGAAAUUUCUCAACCUUACAUUUCCUAAAAUUGACUAGUUUAUGCUUUUCUUUCAUCCAACCAUUAAAUUUCAGUAUCCAAUACCAUAGAAUGGAUCUAUCGGGAUCACUAAUUUUGCAACUUUUUUUUCAAGAUAUUCAUCAUAAGUUUUUUGUUUCCUUUCUCAAAUUAAUCAAGUUUUGUUCUUUUUUAUUUUUUAAUUAGUUGCUCCUCGUCUGGACAAACUUAAAAACUAAAAUCUUUUAUCAAAUUUGAGGCCAUUUUUUUUUUUGUCUUCAGUGGAAUUGUUUUCAAAAUUAAUUAAUUUCUUGUUUUUCAAAAUAUAUCGACGACAAAUCUCCAACAAGUACAAUAGUUCCCUCUCAUUCUCUCAAGAACAAUGAAACUAUGAACAUCACAUAAAAAUUUGUAUAUAGAGAAAGAAAACUUGUUUUCUCAAGGCCUCAUGGGCUCCGUACGUGCAUCCGUGUUUUCUCUCCAAGCAACAUAUAUUGCUAGGCAUAUAAACAACACCUUUCGCUCCCCCUUUUGACAAUCAUAUAAUAGAAACAUGAACAAGAGAAAUUUGUAAUCUCCUAGUAAAUGAGCUUUAUUUGGUUGAGUAUAGAGCCCGAAUUUUAAUGCCCUUUUGUAAUCACUUUCCCCACCAUUUUGUGCGACUAUUCUUUGUUUCUGAGCGGCCAAGCUUCAGUAGCGUUGCCUUUAUCUCAUGUAGCCGAGCUCUAUAGUCUUUCUUCCACGAUUCAAACCUGAGUUUCAGCUUUCGUAGUUCGUCAUCAGGACUCAUGCUGAUGGAGGCCAAGUGAACCGGUUUUAAUUUACCAACACUGUCAUGAAACACCUUUUUACGCUGAUCUCUAAGGUGAUUGAUAUCGUUUAAUCUGCUGUUUGAUUCUUGUGGUUCAGUAUGACAAGGCAGAUCCGAAAAAUCUAGUUCUCUUCUUCCAUUCAUAGCCUGUGUUCCCACAGGCAUUGUGGUGUUGUCACCGUACGAAUGAUACAAUGGAAAAGGAUCAAAUGUUCCAUUUUGAUUUCGGGUGCCUUCGGAAGCAAGACUCUUCUUAGCUGCUGCUAGACUCAUCUGCAUAAACAUUUAAAAUAAUAAGUCAAUUCAAUUGAAUUAAUUUUCUUGGAGUUCCACCAGCAUAUAAGCAUGAUGCAACACCCAAUUUCCUAACACUUGAGCUUUCGUGACAAUAGGUGACGUAACAUGGUAUCGAACUACUAGUUUGAAGCUAUGUGGUUCCAAGUCUUGUCAACCCCCGGUACCUAUGUCAUUGUGACUCUUCUGCUUGUAUGUAUGCACCUUGUUCGAGUCAGUAUGUGUGAGACCGGGUCGGACGUGAGAGUGAUUGCUAUCUUGAUAAAAAUUGUCACUCAAGAAUAUCCAUAGAUGGACCUGUGGGACGGGGGAGGAAAGGGCAACCACCAUCCCAAAAUUUUGAAAAAACACAUUAGUUAUAAUACAUUCCAAGUUUAUAGAUUCGCCUCCCCCAAGGUUCUCUGGAAAACUUAAUACGUUCCCAAAAUAUUUUUCUUAAGGUGCAUGUGUUCACUCCUCCAAGGUUAAGAUUCUACGUCCGUCCCUAAAUAGCCAAGCUGGAGGAUGGACGGAUUCAUAUUGUAGUUAUUAGCUACUCCCUCCCCGUCUCAUUUUGUAUGUCCAUUUUGGGAUUUCCAACCUUUUAAAAAAACAUGGAUUUAACUCACUUAAAAUCAAAUCAAAAGGUAGUGAUUUGACAUUUCAAAGUGGAUAACCAUUUUGUGACAUCCCGAAAUAGAAAAAUGAGCAUACAAAUUGGAAUGGAGGGAGUAUUACUUUAGUAGUCAUGUGCAGAAAUAAGUUUGGAGUUAACCAUUCAAAACAGAAGGUCAACGAGGACAUUUCCAAGCCCUCAUCAACAUCAUGCCUAUCAUUUUUAUGGUCUUAAAAUUUUGUAAUUUGAAUCUGUGAAUGGACAAGAUUUCCAUUGGAGGAAUAACAGAUGUCGAAUUGGGAGCAAUAAAACUCACUUGCAAAGAUGUCAACUGAUCCUGCCAAGUCUUCUCCAUUGAUUUCAUCUUCGCCUCGUACUGUGACCACUUCUCAUCAAAUUGCUGAAGUUUUUGCCGCAAAACAGCAUUUUCCUCUUCCUUUUGCCCCAGUUCUGUCUCCACUCUAAGGAGACCCGACGUUGGAGGUUAGGAAGAACUGAAGGUGAAACUCGAAUGUAAUCCUGCUCAAGAAACAGGAAAUAUUCAUGACAAUCACAUAUAUGAAGAAAAUGUAAAUUAGCUAAAAAAAAGGGACAAUUUUAUUUGUUGAAAAGCUUGAUAUACAUUGUUGGGCACAUUUCUUAAACGCUUAAACUUUUGGAACAAUUGAUGACUUAACAUUUAUCAAAGCUCAGGUUGCGAAGGUCUUGGGGUUAAAUCUCUCCAUUUGCAUUCUUUCUUCUAUACUUCUAUGGAUGUUUGCAUCUCCACAUGCAAGACGGGGUUGCACAUGAGGGACGGCAUAAAGCUUGAUAUACAUUAUUGUUACAUUUUCUAAAAGUUUAAGCUUUGGGGACAAGUGGUGACUUGAUAGUAUUCGUUCUUUUCUCUGAUCUAGCUUUGAAGUUAAAUCCUUCAAUUUCAAACGACUAAAAAGUUAUCGACAUCAUAAAAUAACCAAGAAACAAAGAUGCCAUUCAGUCACCCCAACUCCCCCUACUAAAACUUCGAUCGUUGUGGCCAAUGAAAGGCCCUUAUCUCCUGGAGCUUGUCAAAAUGUCAUUUGUCAUGUUUUUUUCAAUUAUUAUAAGUAGAAUAAACCGAAAGAGGAGAUAGAAGGCCUGUAGCAAUCAAAUUCGUCGAUGGAUACUAAAACUCAGCUGUCAGGUGGUGAAGGCUGAAGAUACAGAAAUGUGAAACUAACUAAAUUAGAUCAAUCUGCACCAAGGAUAAUGCAUACAUAUAUUCCCUUCUCCACAUUCCGUUCAUGUGCUAAUCAAAUAUAAGUUAGAGAAACUAGUCAGUUUCUUUGUAGGUCAUGAUACAACCUAAUCAUGUCAACAAAGGAAAUCGUUACAGCUGUCUAAACCAAAGCAUUUGUCGCUCUUUAACGUGAUGAAAGUGGAAUCGUCAUUUAUCAUGCAAACAUAAAUUGCCUCGACAAAGAAAGUAGCAAUAGAAGAAAUAACAAAUGCUAGUUCAUCCCAAAUCCGUUUUGCGAUGAACCAAAAAAGAUUUACCUUUGUUUCUGGACUUCUCCAGUCUGGUUUUCUUAUAUCUUCCAAGGGCCCAAUGCCAGGCAAUUUAAUAUUCCCCUUCUUCAGACAUUUUCGAGUCGACCAACCACGGAUAACUGCAGAUUUUAAGAGUAUGAAAACUUAGCAUGUGAUUUUACAGCCACAAGCUUGUAUGCAAAAUUCCAGAAUUUUACCAGAUUGCAUACAUAUAGCUGCUCUCUGCCUUUUAUGCAUUAUUCGCCAUUCAAUCCACUUUUUUGUGUGCUGCUGUAUCACUAUAACUGCUGCCAGCCUUCUGGCCAAUUCUUGAUAGUCUUUUCUUGCCUUUUCACCACGAACAACUGCACGGACGUAUGGGCUUUUUAGAAACAAAAACCACGAUCUUGUAGCUUAGACUCUUUUCACAUAAUUUAAGGUCAAGAGUUCAAAAAUUACUUGUACCGAAAACAAAAGCAAAACAAAUAAAAAAAUGUAAUUCCUAAAAAAUUAACCCUCAAAAUAUAUGCAUUACAUGAUUGCAGGGCAACUGUUCCUCGUUUAAGCUCAAUGUAGUAACAGCGGGCUUGGUGACCACGAAAGUACUUCUGAAUCUCCAAUAUACCCUCCAAUAAUCUUUCUCUCUGAUCAUCCGUGGCAUCCAAUAAUUCAAUCUGGAAGGCAAACAUAUAACAUCAGACAAUGGAAUGGAAAUAUGUUGCAACAACCAGUCUCGGAAAAUAGAAAUAUAACGUAUGUUCAAGCCUAUUCCACUAAAUUCCAUUUGACUGUCCCCCCCCCCCCUGGUCAUGAAUGCCCUACUUUAGUAAUUGGCACGAGAAGGCCAACAAAAAGUUCCCGCAUCAUCUCAAAUUACACUGUUGUAUCCACAAGACGUUCAGUGGUAAAAUUAUUUUGAAAUAACAGUGGCAUAUGUGGAACUUCUGAGGACAUUCCAUACGUACAAUGGUCAUAUUAUGGUGUUAAAGUUUUGUGAUGACAUCCAAUAAAUGACUUGAAUCAGUGUGAGUGUAUGCUUCUACAAUCUUUCCUGGCCAGUUUUGGCAUUUCCCCUUAAAUCUUCACUCGAACUCAGAUUUGUGUAAAACUUCAUCAAAACUCUCCUCCACUCAUUUACUCAAGCUAAUAUCAAAUUGCAUUGACUCGAAUUUUCACUCAAAUCAAGGGAGACCCAUUUUACUUAGUCGAAUUUAUAUACAACCUAAAUGAGAUACACGGCAACAUUUUUCCCAAACAUUCCAUUACUCUCAUUCAACUCAACCUAAAACUAGAAACAUAUCAAUUUUACUGAAUUUUGAGUUUGUCUAUCGGAGGACUUCAUAUCAAAUGAACCUUUUUACUAGGAACUCCUAAGGGUCAGAGAUGGCCUUGGCUCUCUCAGAAAUCAGAAAACACAUCUCUGUCCAACUGAACUUAUUUAGAGAAUUCUUUAGCAUAGUUUUCAAUGAAAUCAGGGUCAAAAGGGUAGGCCAUUUUACAAAUAAGAUCUUCCUAUUUGAGAAAAAACAAAUAAGCCUUGCUCCAAGACAUGGCAAAGCAAAAGUACUUCAGCGAAUGGCUUAAGAACCUCAAAUGGAUAAGUGAACCAAGCUAAUCAAAUUUAGACUUAUGUGUUCAUCAAACAGCAAUAGCAAAUAUUUCCUUCAGUGAAUGUAGGUGAAAUGAAAACAGGUGUUAGAGUGUCCAAAUAGGAAGGCAAGCACCAGGCACGCACGGACGGGGUACACAUUAAAAUUUCGGUACGACACGACACGGUGAAUGAGCCAGGCCGGGCCACUAUUUUUGGGGCACGGGGCAUAGUAAGGCAAAGGCACGACACAACACGAUGAUGUGAGCAAAUAUUUUAGAUUUUUGAAGCAAUUAAACUCAUCCAUUAAAAAAAUUAUGGCACUGCACAGCACGAGGCACGAAUGGGCAGUGCUGGCCCUAGGUUUUUAUCAAAUGAGCACGGAACGGAACAGAACGAAGCACGAAAACAAAUGGGUUGGGUCGGGUCAGGCCAGGCCAGGCCAGAACAGAACAGAAUGGCCCGGUUGACACCUCUAGGCUAGCUUAGGACCACAAACGAGAUGUCCUUUAAAGCUUUGAAUUUCUUAAUCAAUUUAUGCUACGAAUCCUAUACACAGGAACACAGCUUCCCUAAAGACCAUGAAUUCCAAAAUCUAUGUAGCUACAAAGAAGUGCAACAUAUAGGUACAUGUGUAAUACAUAUUUAAACAUAAGCAGAAAUUAAUUAAAUUGAUAGUCAAUCCAAGCAUGAAGAAACAUAUUUGUUUAGUAGUUGUUUCCACAAUAUUUUUCAGAAGCUGUUUUGUUCUUGAAUAGAAAUCAUUUUUUGGGAAAAAUUCUCUAAAAACUAUUUUUCCUAAAAAUAAUUAAUUAUGAAAAGACAGUGUUUUUGCUUUCAAAAUUCAUUUCUGAAAAGUGUUCUGAAAAACUAAUUCUAAAAACACCAUACUCUGAAAAUGAAGUAUAGAUUUACCUUCAAUCUAUUGCUCUCAAACAGCCCCAAUUUGAAAUUUGACUCUCCCUCUUCCCUCCUAUCUUCUUUUUCUUUGACAUCCUCCCAUAAACCACACUUCCGGAAGUUCACCGGAAACCCCCGUCUCGCCGGAGGCAAUCGAGCCUUCGACACCGGCCGAACCGGCAACGCCGGUGGCGCAUCAGUUGGCUGCUCAUCCCUCUGCCGGAUUGAGUCUAGCAUAAGCUCCAGAGAACUACGAGAACUUGUAGAACACAUCAUCAUCGCUCUCUCUCUCUCUCUCUAAACACAGAAAAGAAAUUGCCCAAAUUCGAUCAAGAGACCCAUUUUUUGACCCGAUUCAAACAAUUCAUAUAUGUACACACAGAUUUUGUACGUAUACAAAGAACUCUUUUUGGGGUUAAAAAUGGAGAAGUACUGUGUAGUUUUUAGGAUGAUUUGAGGACCAGUAUUGUGGACACAUCAUCAUCGCUCUCUCUCUCUCUCUCUAAACACAGAAAAGAAAUUGCCCAAAUUCCAUCAAUAUACUCCUUUUGACCGAUUCACCAAUUAUAUAUGUACACACCGAUUUUGUCGUAUCAAAGAACUCUUUUUGGGGUUAAAAAUGGAGAAGUACUGUGUAGUUUUUAGGAUGAUUUGAGGGACCAGUACUUGUGGAACACAUCAUCAUCGCUCGCUCUCGCUGUAAACCCAGAAAAGAAAUUGCCCAAAUUCGAUCAAAAGACCCAUUUUUGCCUCUUAUUCAAACAAUUCAUAUACAUAUACACAAGAUGUAUAUGUAAAGGAAGAGCUUUUUGGAGGGGUAAAACAAAGAAUUGAUGUGUUUUUAGGAUGAUUUUGGGGGAAGAUUAGAGCUUUGGAAAGCUCUGUUUUACAGAUUUCGUGGGAAGUAAGAGCUUUCUGGAGGGGUAAAACAAAGAAGUGGUGUGUUUUUAGGAUGAUUUUGGGGGAAGAUUAGAGCUCGGAAAGCUCUGUUUUGCAGAUUUCAUGGGAAGUAAGAGCUUUCAGGAGGGACAAAACAAAGAAGUGGUGUGUUUUUAGGAUGAUUUUGGGGGAAGAUUAGAGCUUUGGAAAGCUCUGUUUUGCAGAUUUCACGGGAAGGAAGAGAAGUCCAUCAGAAGAAAUCUCCUGUUUUUGCUUUUGCUUUAUCUGGAAUUCAAAUUCCAAGAUAGGUACCUUUUCUAUUCAUUAUUGAAAAGCCAACCGUUGUAGCGUUUGAAGUGAGAAUUUUGCUAUAUUUCCAGGGGCUUAAUGGGAAUCAUGUGAUAUUAUCAGGCAUGUGUCUCUAGGAUAGCUUUUAAUGGCUACCGAAAGGGUCUCAGUGCACCCCAUAUUCUCAAUACACCUCUCCGUAGUUUUAGGAAUUUUAACUUCUACUUAAUACACUUUUAAUAUUUCUAAAUUGUCCUCAUUUUCAACCCUUCCUCACCUAAACCCCAAUAACCACACGCUAACCCCUCCGUCUAGCCUUCCACUGUCACACUUGCACGACCAAACCAACCCAUCCACCAUCGCGUAGUCCUCGCAACCCUCACCAACGUUGUGCAACGGACCCUACCCUCAUGAUUUUACUAAGUCUCUCUCUUUAUUGAGGGGUUUACGGUGGUGCGGGAGGGAGAAAGGGGAAGGGGAUGGCGGGUUUCGUGAGGAUAGUAAGUGUUGGAUGGUCAAAGAGAGUAGGGUGAGUGAUGGCAGAUGGGUGGGGCUUGGAUAGCGGUAGUAUGCAGUGGCUAUGGUGGGUGGGGUUGUAGUGAGAAGUUCCUAUUCUUUUUGAGUAGUAAAUUUAGUAAGGGUUAACUUUGUAAUUAAUAAAAAUUGGUUGUGGGGGUGCACUGAGACCAAUAUGGUUUGCAUUUAGAAGCUAUAGUGUCUCUGUAAUACACGCCUAAAAAUUUUCUCUGCACACUGUUAAAUCAAUUAGAGAAGUAUGUUUAUUUUCAUAUUAUUAAUGAAGUUCUAAUUUUAAAAAAUAAGACUAGUGAUUUUUACAUUCUUCUUUUCUUCAAUUGCACUCAUUUUUUUAUCGUUAUUAGGGUAAAUUUACACAAUACCCACUUUUCUCAAAUAUUUUUAGUGUAUAGAAGGAUAUUUCAAUAAAUUUACUUUAAUAUAAAAAUAAUACAAUUAAAUAAAAUGAGAGUAUAAAAAUCACUUUAAAAAAUGAGACAAAUGUGUGGAGACAAGAAAAUAAUAAAGGUGCAUGUUAGUUUCCAUUCAUUGCAUCUGAUUAUGAUCUAGAUAGGCUAGAUUUAUGCCUGCUUCAAUGGAAAUUAUUAGUUAUGGGGAUCUGGGUCAAUGAGAAAUUUCCUGAAUAUCAUGUAUAAUGGGUUUAACAGAGAGUGGUGGAGGUAAUGAUGGAAAGAGUUCAUAUUAUAUAUUCUUCUCACCACCCAGAUUUAUUAAAAAUUGCAAAUUGUUUAGUACAUAUGAUCACUCACUCCAGUUUAAUAGUUUAAGUUUCAGAAUCAGUUUUUAGAAAAAUUAUUUAUUUUGUUGAUGAUUUUCGGUAGUUGUUUUUAAGGAAUUCCUAAAAAAAACAUUUUGGAGGAAAUUUUAAAAUGACGUCUUCGAAGUUCUAAAAAAACAUUAUCGGUAAAAAAUCAAUAAUAUAAUAAAUAAUAUAUAUUUUUAUUAUAAAAAUCAUUUCUAAAAAUGUAUCUUGCACAAUUGAUUUGAGAAUUGAACGAAACGAUAAGGUUUCAGUGUAAUGAAAACAGCUACAUUGGAUUCUGAAUAUUUGAUUAAACAAUCAACCAACUCAAGUUCUAUUCGUACAGAAUUCUUUUGAGAUCGACUUAUAAUAAUUAGUUAAUUAGUUAUGCUCUAAAAUUGAUUUGACAGGACUUAUAUGAACUUUAGCAUGGUCUUAAAAACCCAAUGUUAUUUGAACUGAAGUUGUAACCAAUUCCAUCAAAUCUCAUUUGAAAUCAUCUCAACAAAAAAAAUCAACUUACAAACAUAAUCCAUAAAUUCAUUCAAAUAUGUUCACUGUAAUUUCUCUUAACCUGCAAAGUAAAUAAAGUGGUCACCAUUAAAAGCAUUAUCAUGUGGAAUUAUGUUCCUUUUGCAUACUAGGUAUUUACUUAAUUAGCAAGGACUAUGAGUGAGCCAAAAAUUUGAUCUAACCGUGAAACCGUCCAAAUCGGUUUAGAUCGCACAGUCAGUGGCGGGUGGAGGCCACGGCCCCUUAACAUUUGAAAAACCAAAAAAAAAUUAUUUUGUAAAUUAUUUUUUAUUUUUUCUAUUAAUUUUGACUAUUUUGUUAUUGGUCUAUUGAAGCUGCCCCCUAAAAAAUUUUUACCGAAAAAUCCAUUAAAAAUAUAUAAUUUGCCCCCCUCAACAAAAUUCAUGCGUCCGCCACUGCGUACAGUUGUUUUCAAGCG